GAGUGAUCCUAAAAAGAAGACAGCAAGAAUGCAGGGGGAGCUCUGAAACAAGGCCUGUGAAGUCCUGCAGAAAUUGGGGACAACGUGCAGUUCUGCCAUCCUUCAGAUUUCUGCUUCAAGUUCCUGCCUUGAGUCCACUUCCUGACUUUCCUCAGCAAUGGACUGUGACCUGCAAGAGGAAAUACACCUUUUGCUCUCCAAGUUGCUUUGGUUCAUGGUGUUUAUGGCAGCAACAGAAAGCAAACUAGGACCUAUGGGCUUUGUGAUGGUACAUCAUAACUGACCUCCCUAGAGCCAGAUCUGUCAUCACAUUCCUGGAAUUCUGACUCCAGAGAGGCAGAGACUAUGAGUCCAUGCCCAAAGUUAAAGGCAGCACGGCAGAGGGAGGGUCUGUCUCACACAACAGACAAACACGUGUCUCCAGAAGAAAGGUAUAUCUUGUGCUGUUCUUACUUAUGUCUAUGCAUUCAUGCUUUGUCUACAAGAACUUGAAUGCAGAUUUGUGGAUUAGUUGUCUUGGUGCAGAUAAUCAGUGGAUUUCACUUGUGUUCUAAGACAGAACUGUGGUAUUGCCUGUAUUCUCCAACCUAAUUU